rnacentral:rRNA from 1 species
UACGAAGGUGGCAAGCGUUACUCGGAAUUACUAGGCGUAAAGGGCAGGUAGGUGGUUUGGUAAGUCUAUUGUGUAAGCUCCCGGCUUAACUGGGAGAGGUCAACAGAAGCUACCAGACUUGAGUAUAGGAGAGGGUACUGGAAUUCCCGGUGUAGCGGUGAAAUGCGCAGAGAUCGGGAGGAACACCAAUGGCGAAAGCAGGUACCUGGACUAUUACUGACACUCAGCUGCGAAAGCUAGGGGAGCAAACAGG